AUUGAAGGCUGGCGGCAGGCCUAACACAUGCAAGUCGAGCGGAUGAAGGGAGCUUGCUCCUGGAUUCAGCGGCGGACGGGUGAGUAAUGCCUAGGAAUCUGCCUGGUAGUGGGGGAUAACGUCCGGAAACGGGCGCUAAUAUCGCAUACGUCCUGAGGGAGAAAGUGGGGGAUCUUCGGACCUCACGCUAUCAGAUGGGCCUAGGUCGGAUUAGCUAGUUGGUGGGGUAGAGGCCUACCAAGGCGACGAUCCGUAACUGGUCUGAGAGGAUGAUCAGUCACACUGGAACUGAGACACGGUCCAGACUCCUACGGGAGGCAGCAGUGGGGAAUAUUGGACAAUGGGCGAAAGCCUGAUCCAGCCAUGCCGCGUGUGUGAAGAAGGUCUUCGGAUUGUAAAGCACUUUAAGUUGGGAGGAAGGGCAGUAAGUUAAUUCCUUGCUGUUUUGACGUUACCAACAGAAUAAGCACCGGCUAACUUCGUG
rnacentral:rRNA from 1 species